UUACUUACCUGGGCGGGGUCAAUGGGCCAUCAAGAAGGUUCAUGGCCUAGGCAGGUGGCCUCCAUUGCACUUUGGCAGGGAUAUUUGCCUAACAUCUUCCCAAUGUGGAAGAGUGUACGUCAUAAUUUGUGUUAGUGGGGGUCUGCGUUCGCGCAACCCCUAA
rfam:Beta vulgaris subsp. vulgaris Bvchr6.sca028.con0023.1, whole genome shotgun sequence.